rnacentral:rRNA from 1 species
UACAGGGGGGGCAAGCGUUGUUCGGAAUUACUGGGCGUAAAGGGUGCGUAGGCGGGUCUUUAAGUCAGGGGUGAAAUCCUGGAGCUCAACUCCAGAACUGCCUUUGAUACUGAAGAUCUUGAGUUCGGGAGAGGUGAGUGGAACUGCGAGUGUAGAGGUGAAAUUCGUAGAUAUUCGCAAGAACACCAGUGGCGAAGGCGGCUCACUGGCCCGAUACUGACGCUGAGGCACGAAAGCGUGGGGAGCAAACAGG